UCCCGCCGCGGGGACUUGAACCCCGGACCACCCGGUACCUACAGCCGGGCGCUCUAGAACCGGGCUGAGCUACGGCGGG
rnacentral:tRNA from 1 species